UAGGGAAUCUUCGGCAAUGGGGGCAACCCUGACCGAGCAACGCCGCGUGAGUGAAGAAGGUUUUCGGAUCGUAAAGCUCUGUUGUAAGAGAAGAACGUGUGUGAGAGUGGAAAGUUCACACAGUGACGGUAACUUACCAGAAAGGGACGGCUAACUACGUGCCAGCAGCCGCGGUAAUACGUAGGUCCCGAGCGUUGUCCGGGUUUAUUGGGCGUAAAGCGAGCGCAGGCGGUUUAAUAAGUCUGAAGUUAAAGGCAGUGGCUUAACCAUUGUUCGCUUUGGAAACUGUUAAACUUGAGUGCAGAAGGGGAGAGUGGAAUUCCAUGUGUAGCGGUGAAAUGCGUAGAUAUAUGGAGGAACACCGGUGGCGAAAGCGGCUCUCUGGUCUGUAACUGACGCUGAGGCUCGAAAGCGUGGGGAGCAAACAGG
rnacentral:rRNA from 1 species